rnacentral:rRNA from 1 species
GCGAGCUCGUUGCCGGCAGCGGUGGUAAUACAGUGGGUCCGAUGUUGGUGCGGAGCCACUGUGCUGAAAGGGGUCGUAGGUGGUGGGGGAAGUCGGAGUUGAAAUCUCCGAGCUCAACGCGGAAAUGGCAUUGGAAACUACCCUGCUGGAGGGUCGGAGGGGGGACUGGAAGUCUCGGUGUAGCAGUGAAAUGCGUAGAUAUCGAGAGGAACACCAGUGGCGAAGGCGAGUCCCUGGACGACUCCUGACACUGAGGCACGAAAGCUAGGGGAGCAAACAGGAUUAGAUACCCCGGUAGUC